UACAGAGGUGGCAAGCGUUGUUCGGAAUUACUGGGCGUAAAGGGCGCGUAGGCGGUCUGUCAAGUCCCGUGUGAAAGCCCCCGGCUCAACCGGGGAACGGCGCGGGAAACUAGCAGGCUUGAGUUCGGGAGAGGGAAGCGGAAUUUCGGGUGUAGCGGUGAAAUGCGCAGAUAUCCGAAGGAACACCGGUGGAGAAGGUGGCUUCCUGGACCGACAUUGACGGUGAGGCGCGUAAGCUAGGGGAGCAAACGGG
rnacentral:rRNA from 1 species